rnacentral:rRNA from 1 species
UGUAGUCCAUACCGUAAACGAUGAAUGCUAAGUGUUGGAGGUUUCCCCUUCAGUGCUGCAGCUAACGCAUUAAGCAUUCCGCUGGGGAGUACGGCCGCAAGGCUGAAACUCAAAGGAAUUGACGGGGGCCCGCACAAGCGGUGGAGCAUGUGGUUUAAUUCGAAGCUACGCGAAGAACCUUACCAGGUCUUGACAUACUAUGCAAAUCUAAGAGAUUAGACGUUCCCUUCGGGGACGUGGAUACAGGUGGUGCAUGGUUGUCGUCAGCUCGUGUCGUGAGAUGUUGGGUUAAGUCCCGCGACGAGCGCAACCCUUAUUAUCAGUUGCCAGCAUUAAGUUGGGCACUCUGGUGAGACUGCCGGUGACAAACCGGAGGAAGGUGGGGAUGACGUCAAAUCAUCAUGCCCCUUAUGACCUGGGCUACACACGUGCUACAAUGGAUGGUACAACGAGUUGCGAACUCGCGAGAGUAAGCUAAUCUCUUAAAGCCAUUCUCAGUUCGGAUUGUAGGCUGCAACUCGCCUACAUGAAGUCGGAAUCGCUAGUAAUCGCGGAUCAGCAUGCCGCGGUGAAUACGUUCCCGGGCCUUGUACACACCGCCCGUCACACCAUGAGAGUUUGUAACACCCAAAGUCGGUGGGGUAACCUUUAGGAACCAGCCGCCUAAGGUGGGACAGAUGAUUAGGGUGAAGUCGUAACAAGGUAACCA